GCCGCAGCAGCGGCCGCCCCCACCCCCGGCGCGCAAGGGAGGCUCCCGGCCGGGGGCGGCGGUGGCGGGGGGAGGACUGAGGCUGGAAAGGUGCGUGCUCGGAUUGCCGGAGGGCCGGUCUCGACCCGUGCGUACGGAAAAGAAGCUGCCAUUUGUGACGAGCGUCUUACAACAAUCCAUUGAUACCAACGACAUGCAUGGAAUACUUAGAGGAGAAAUAAAAUCUGAAACACUAGCACUGGAUCUUCAAACCUCUGACUGAGUGCCAGGAGAUAAUGAUAAAUGAAACUCCUUGCUCUACAAGUCACUUUGGUUUUGUGGUGUCAAGUUCAGCAGGGCUGCAUUUUAAUACUCAUUCUCAGGUGAGAUGAAGAUAUCAUCUUUGAAACUUUUGAAUUCCAAGUGCAGCUGGAAAUCAAGUUCCUCUUUCCUGAAGAGAGUAAGCCUGUGAUCUGCACAGGCAGUGGGGGCGUCAGGGACCUCUGUGAGGAGUGCCCAGGGCUGCCCCAGGUAGGACACAGCUGGAUCCAGGUGGCUUCAACCCACCCACACAGGGAACAGCUGGGCCUGCAGCCAGAGGGCCUGUGGCACCUUGGAGAAGACAUGUUUAAGAAAGGGUAAAAACUGUUGCACAGCAGCUUUGUGAGAGAGGAGUGAGAGCAUGAGAGGAACAAACCUGCAGACACCCAGUUCAGUGCAUAAGGAGGAGAAGGAGCUGAUACUCCCCUGCAGCCCCUGGUGAAGACCAUGGUGUGGCCUGUGGAGGACCAGAGGGAAAAGAAGAUCUGUAUUACAACCAGUGGAAGACUCCAUGCCCGAGCAGGUGGAUGUGUUGUGGAGAAAGCUGACACUGCUGGAGGGCCAGCAGGAGGAAAGCUAGAAGCAGGAGGAAAGCAGGAAGAGAAAGAUGUGCCACCCAGGAGGUGCUAUGGGCUGACCCCAUCCCUCCAUUCCCCACCCUCAUGCACUGCUCAGCAUGAGGAGGAGGUUUGUACCUGGGAAUAAAGGGGUGUGGAAGGGAGGGGGAUUGGUUUCCUUUUGUUUCUGUGUAACUGAGUCUAUUUUUAAUUGGCAAUAAAUUAAACUUCUUCAAGUAAAAUCUGUGUUGGCUGUGAAGGUAAUAGUUGAAUAAUCUUGUCUUCAUCUCAACCUAUGGGAUUUUUCAUUUUAUUUUCUCUCCCAUCCUGCUGAGGAGAGGAAGUCAGAAAGUGGUUGUGUGGGCACCUGUCAUCCAACCAAGGUAAACCCACAAUAAAAUUCAAUAUUUUUGUCUUAAAACAUAUUUGGGGAUUUAAACUGAUUUCUGUGAUUGUAUGAAAAUUUUCCUUUAAAUGUUGUCAUAAAAAAUAAAAUCUAAGUU